rnacentral:lncRNA from 1 species
UCCCUCUAAAACACAAAUUUUAUACUACUAUAUAUAAAUUAUAAUUUAUUUUCAUCCGAUAACUCAAAAUAUAAAUAAACCGAUAAUAGAAACCUUUUCAUAUAUUCUCCAUUACUUUCGUCACAGUUGGCAAUUUAAAAAUUAUGUGAAUGUUAAAUUAUUUAUAAAUAUUAUAAUUUUAUAUUGUGAUAUGUUUUAAAAAAUUUAAAAUUUUAAUCUAAUUGAAUAUUCGUCAGUUUAAAUAU